UGCCACAGGUAGGAUGGCCGAAGUAGGUGGUGGGUUGUAGCCCCAAAGAUAGAGGUUAGAGUCCUCUUCCUAUCA
rnacentral:tRNA from 1 species